UGAGGACUUCCAAGGACUUAAAUAUUCAGGUACUCAGUCCCAAACUCUUAUACUCUUCUCAUCUAAUGUGUGCUUGCAACUAGUAGUUUACCAAUAUACACCUGUUGUGUUUCUCAUUUAGAUAGCUUAUGGUAGAAUCUCUUCAAGUGUGAAAGGGUACUGGAAUAUGGAUCUAUUUAUUCAGCUAACAGAUGGGAAGAAAAUUGUGGAUCCCAAACAGCAGACUGUUUUGCGUUGUUAUCUGAAGGUGGGGAUGCUUCAUCCCUUGCGAGUGAUUGUCACCAGCCGUGGCCCAGAUACUGAACUCGUGGCUGCUAAUCCUGUUGAACUAUCUGGAAAGGGGUCUGGCACUGAAGAUGUUAGGAAUAUGUAUUUUCUCAGCUGAAAUCGGAAGACGUUCAACUUCAGAACGCCAGUGGGAAGUUUACAGAUUUCUCCUGGAGGAAAGUGCUGCAAGCAAGCUAGAAAUCAGAUUGUGGAUAGAGCGAGAAAAACAUUGAUGGGAUGGUGAACUGACUGCUGGUCUAUGUUAACUUGUAUCUGCAGAAAAAUGUUUUGCAUUACAUUCAACUCCCCAGUCUCUCUUGGUUGGAGACAAAUCUAUUUAUAAUCAUAUUGUUAAUGUGUUUGGUUAA